rnacentral:rRNA from 1 species
UUCGUAGGGGGCGAGCGUUGUCCGGAAUCAUUGGGCGUAAAGCGCGUGUAGGCGGUCCGGUAAGUCCGCUGUGAAAGUCGGGGGCUCAACCCUCGGAUGCCGGUGGAUACUGGCGGGCUUGAGUACGGAAGAGGCGAGUGGAAUUCCUGGUGUAGCGGUGAAAUGCGCAGAUAUCAGGAGGAACACCAAUUGCGAAGGCAGCUCGCUGGGACGUUACUGACGCUGAGACGCGAAAGCGUGGGGAGCAAACAGG